UGGGGAAUUUUCCGCAAUGGGCGAAAGCCUGACGGAGCAAUACCGCGUGAGGGAAGAAGGCUCUUGGGUUGUAAACCUCUUUUCUCAGGGAAUAAAAAAAUGAAGGUACCUGAGGAAUAAGCAUCGGCUAACUCCGUGCCAGCAGCCGCGGUAAUACGGAGGAUGCAAGCGUUAUCCGGAAUGAUUGGGCGUAAAGCGUCCGCAGGUGGUACAACAAGUCUAGUGUCAAAGACCGGGGCUCAACCCCGGAAAGGCGGUAGAAACUGUUGAACUAGAGGGUCGUAGGGGUAGAGGGAAUUCCCAGUGUAGCGGUGAAAUGCGUAGAGAUUGGGAAGAACAUCGGUGGCGAAGGCGCUCUACUGGACGGCAACUGACACUCAGGGACGAAAGCUAGGGGAGCGAAUG
rnacentral:rRNA from 1 species